CCUACGGAGAGCUGCAGUGGGGAAUAUUGGACAAUGGGCGAAAGCCUGAUCCAGCCAUGCCGCGUGUGUGAAGAAGGCCUUCGGGUUGUAAAGCACUUUCAGUGGGGAAGAAAGCCUUGGGGCUAAUACCCUCGAGGAAGGACAUCACCCACAGAAGAAGCACCGGCUAACUCCGUGCCAGCAGCCGCGGUAAUACGGAGGGUGCGAGCGUUAAUCGGAAUUACUGGGCGUAAAGCGCGCGUAGGCGGUCUGAUAAGCCGGUUGUGAAAGCCCCGGGCUCAACCUGGGAACGGCAUCCGGAACUGUCAGGCUAGAGUGCAGGAGAGGAAGGUAGAAUUCCCGGUGUAGCGGUGAAAUGCGUAGAGAUCGGGAGGAAUACCAGUGGCGAAGGCGGCCUUCUGGACUGACACUGACGCUGAGGUGCGAAAGCGUGGGUAGCAAACAGGAUUAGAUACCCCGGUAGUC
rnacentral:rRNA from 1 species